rnacentral:lncRNA from 12 species
CAUAUUUCUCUGUCAGAUUUACAAGCCUGUAUGGAUAAGGGAGUAGGAGAAAAUGGACAGAGGAAAGCAAAGCAUGUGGUUUUCUGCUUAUCAAGUCUGACAGCACACACCAAAGCAUGGAAGUGGAAAUCAAGAUCUUGACUAUGGCUUCAGUAAUCCAAAAAGGAAAUCUCAGUGGAAUGAAUAUGCCUAAUACCAAA